GCAUUUAAGGACUUUUCAGGAGA
rnacentral:piRNA from 1 species